rnacentral:rRNA from 1 species
AUGUCGGAGUCGAGCAGGGCGUUCAAUGUGGAGGGCGGCCAGCCGGCCGACGGGGCGCGGGCAGGAGGGAAGCGGCGCCCGGGCGCGGGCGGCGGCGGCGGGAGCGUGCCGUUCCACAGGCUGUUCGCGUUCGCCGACGGCGCCGACGCGGCGCUCAUGCUGGUCGGCGCGGUCGGCGCGGUGGCCAACGGCGCCGCGCUGCCGCUCAUGACGGUUCUGUUUGGCGGGCUAGUCGACGCCUUUGGCGGCGCGGCCGGCGGCAGCGGCGACGUCCUGGCCCGCGUCUCCCAGGUCUCCCUCGAGUUCGUCUACCUGGCCAUCGCCUCCGCCGUCGCCUCCUUCGCCCAGGUGACCUGCUGGAUGAUCACCGGCGAGCGGCAGGCGGCGCGGAUACGGAACAUGUACCUAAGGACCAUACUACGGCAGGAGAUCGCCUUCUUCGACAUGUACACCAGCACCGGCGAGGUCGUCGGGCGGAUGUCCGGCGACACGGUGCUCAUCCAGGACGCCAUGGGGGAAAAGGUCGGCAAGUUCAUCCAGCUGAUGGUGACGUUCUUUGGAGGCUUUGCCGUGGCCUUCGCGCAGGGCUGGCUCCUCACCCUCGUCAUGGUGGCCACCAUCCCGCCACUCGUCCUCUCCGGCGCAGUCAUGUCCAAUGUCGUCGCCAGGAUGGCGUCGCUGGGGCAGGCCGCCUACGCCGAAGCCGCGGUCGUCGUCGAGCAGACCGUCGGCUCCAUCAGAACAGUUGCAUCUUUCACCGGGGAGAAGAAAGCGGUGGAGAAGUACAACAAGUCGCUUAAGUGCGCUUACAGUUCCGGUGUCCGGGAAGGCCUAGUCGCGGCCAUCGGCAUGGGCACCGUCAUGAUGCUCCUGUUCUGCGGCUACUCCCUGGGGGUAUGGUAUGGAGCCAAGCUGAUCCUAGAGAAGGGAUACACAGGCGCCCAAGUCAUGAAUGUCAUCUUCGCUGUGCUUACCGGCUCGCUAGCUCUAGGACAGGCAUCACCAAGCAUGAAAGCAUUCGCAGGAGGACAGGCCGCAGCAUACAAGAUGUUUGAAACAAUCAACAGGGAGCCCGAAAUCGAUGCAUACAGCACAGAGGGUAGGAUGCUAGAUGACAUUCAGGGGGAUAUCGAGUUCAGAGAUGUUCACUUCUCUUACCCAACAAGGCCCAAUGAGCAAAUAUUCAGAGGUUUCUCCCUUGCCAUACAGAGUGCCAAAACCGUUGCAUUGGUUGGCCAGAGUGGGAGUGGAAAAUCAACAGUUAUCAGCUUGAUCGAACGAUUUUACGAUCCUCAGCUCGGAGAAGUUCUAAUAGAUGGAGUGAAUAUCAAGGAGUUGCAGUUAAAGUGGAUCAGAAGUAAAAUUGGCUUAGUGAGCCAGGAGCCGGCCCUGUUUGCUGCUAGCAUAAGAGAUAACAUAGCUUAUGGUAAGGACAAUGCAACAGAUCAGGAAAUCAGAGCUGCGGCUGAGCUUGCUAACGCCUCGAAAUUCAUUGAUAAAUUACCCCAGGGUUUCUCUACUUCGGUUGGUGAACAUGGAACACAACUAUCUGGUGGACAAAAGCAAAGAAUUGCCAUUGCCAGAGCGAUUCUCAAAGAUCCAAGAAUCCUGCUAUUGGACGAAGCGACAAGCGCUUUGGACACUGAAUCUGAAAGGAUUGUGCAGGAGGCUCUUGAUAGGGUCAUGACAAAUCGGACCACUGUCAUAGUUGCACACCGUUUGACCACUGUAAGGAAUGCUGAUACAAUUGCUGUCAUCUGCCGAGGAUCAAUAGUUGAAAAAGGUCCACACCAUGACCUUUUGAGGGACCCAGAAGGAGCUUACAGCCAACUGAUACGCCUACAGGAAACAAGUCGUGCUUCUGAGGGUGCAAGCAAUCAGAACAAGUCAGGUAGGAAGAGUGAUACUGGGAUUUGGUUAGGCAAACAGUCAUUGGUAAAUCAGUCAACUAGCCAAAGGUCAUCACGGGACAACAGUAGCCAUCACUCAUUCUCAGUGCCAUUCGGCAUACCUCAUGAAAUUGAUGUUCAGGUUGGCUGCUCGAAGAACAUAACUGAUGAAAUACAACAGGAAGUGCCCCUCAGUCGCCUGGCAUCCCUUAACAAACCAGAGGUCCCAGUGCUUAUACUUGGUUCUGUUGCUUCUGCUAUCAGCGGAGUGAUAUUCCCGAUCUUUGCAAUACUUUUGUCGAAUGUGAUCAAAGCAUUCUAUGAGCCUCCACAAAUGCUAAAGAAGGAUGCUGCGUUUUGGUCAUCCAUGUUCUUGAUAUUUGGUGCAGUGUACUUCGUGUCGCUCCCUGUUGGCUCGUACUUUUUCUCGGUGGCUGGGUGCAAGCUCAUCAGAAGAAUCAGACUAAUGACUUUUGAAAAGGUGGUCAAUAUGGAGAUUGGAUGGUUUGAUGACCCACAUAACUCAAGUGGCUCAAUUGGGUCAAGGCUAUCGUCAGAUGCAGCAAAAGUUAGGGGGCUCGUGGGUGAUACACUUCAACUGGUUGUGCAGAACUCGGCAACAUUAGUUGCUGGCCUGGUAAUCGCUUUCGUAUCAAACUGGGAGCUAUCUCUUAUCAUUUUGGCGUUGAUACCACUCAUCGGCCUGAAUGGAUGGAUCCAGAUGAAAUUUAUCCAGGGAUUCAGUGCAGAUGCAAAGAUGAUGUACGAGGAGGCAAGUCAAGUGGCAAAUGAUGCAGUAAGUAGCAUAAGGACAGUGGCCUCAUUCUCAGCUGAAGAGAAGGUGAUGGAUUUGUACAACAAAAAGUGCGAAGGACCGCUACAAACAGGAAUCAGGACAGGAAUAAUAAGUGGUAUUGGUUUUGGAGUUUCCUUCUUUUUGCUUUUUGGAGUCUACGCAGCAAGCUUCUAUGCUGGUGCUCGGCUUGUUGAGGAUAAGAAGACAACAUUUCCCAAAGUUUUCAGGGUGUUUCUUGCUCUCACGAUGGCAGCAAUCGGGGUAUCGCACACUAGCACACUCACUUCAGAUUCCUCCAGAGCAAGAUCAGCCGUAUCUUCUAUAUUCGCCAUCGUGGACCGUAAAUCGAUGAUUGACCCUAGUGAUGACGCCGGGGUGAAUGUAGAACCACUAAGGGGCGAUAUCGAGUUUCGGCACGUGAGGUUCAGAUACCCGACCCGCCCUGACAUCCAGAUCUUCGAAGACCUAUGCUUGACAAUCCAGUCAGGAAAGACCGUCGCGCUCGUCGGGGAGAGCGGCAGCGGCAAAUCGACAGCGAUAGCGCUGCUGCAGAGAUUCUACGACCCUGACGCAGGCCACAUACUUCUGGACGGGGUGGACAUCCAGAAGUUCCAGGUGAGAUGGCUGAGGCAGCAGAUGGGGCUGGUGAGCCAAGAGCCGGCCCUCUUCAACGACACGAUCCGAGCAAACAUCGCCUACGGAAAGGAAGGGGAGGCCACGGAAUCGGACAUCGUAUCUGCCGCGCAACUGGCGAAUGCCCACAAGUUCAUCAGCUCCCUCCAGCAGGGGUACGACACGGUGGUCGGGGAGCGAGGCGCUCAGCUGUCGGGAGGGCAGAAGCAGCGGGUGGCGAUCGCGCGGGCCGUGGCCAAAGACCCGAGGAUCCUGCUGCUGGACGAGGCGACGAGCGCGCUGGACGCGGAGUCGGAGCGGGCGGUGCAGGACGCGCUGGACCGGGUGGCGGCGAGCCGGACGACGGUGGUGGUGGCGCAUCGCCUGUCGACGGUCCGGGGCGCGGAUGUGAUCGCGGUGGUGAAGGACGGCGCGAUCGUCGAGCGGGGCACGCACGACGCCCUGAUCGCCGUCAAGGGCGGCGCGUACGCGUCCCUCGUCGCCCUCCACUCCGCGUCGGCGUCGUCGUAG